rnacentral:rRNA from 1 species
UACGUAGGUCCCGAGCGUUGUCCGGAUUUAUUGGGCGUAAAGCGAGCGCAGGUGGUUUAUUAAGUCUGGUGUAAAAGGCAGUGGCUCAACCAUUGUAUGCAUUGGAAACUGGUAGACUUGAGUGCAGGAGAGGAGAGUGGAAUUCCGUGUGUAGCGGUGAAAUGCGUAGAUAUAUGGAGGAACACCGGUGGCGAAAGCGGCUCUCUGGUCUGUAACUGACACUGAGGCUCGAAAGCGUGGGGAGCAAACAGG